GAUGAACGCUGGCGGCGUGCCUAAUACAUGCAAGUCGAGCGAACAGACGAGGAGCUUGCUCCUCUGAUGUUAGCGGCGGACGGGUGAGUAACACGUGGAUAACCUACCUAUAAGACUGGGAUAACUUCGGGAAACCGGAGCUAAUACCGGAUAACAUGUUGAACCGCAUGGUUCAACAGUGAAAGACGGUCUUGCUGUCACUUAUAGAUGGAUCCGCGCCGCAUUAGCUAGUUGGUAAGGUAACGGCUUACCAAGGCAACGAUGCGUAGCCGACCUGAGAGGGUGAUCGGCCACACUGGAACCGAGACACGGUCCAGACUCCUACGGGAGGCAGCAGUAGGGAAUCUUCCGCAAUGGGCGAAAGCCUGACGGAGCAACGCCGCGUGAGUGAAGAAGGUCUUCGGAUCGUAAAACUCUGUUAUUAGGGAAGAACAAAUGUGUAAGUAACUAUGCUCGUCUUGACGGUACCUAAUCAGAAAGCCACGGCUAACUACGUG
rnacentral:rRNA from 1 species